AGGUAAGCUACUAAGAGCGAAUGGUGGAUGCCUUGACUGGUAAAGGCGAUGAAGGACGUACUAGACUGCGAUAAGCUACGGGGAGCUGUCAAGAAGCUUUGAUCCGUAGAUUUCCGAAUGGGGCAACCCAAUGUAUAGAGAUAUACAUUACCUAUAUAGGAGCGAACGAGGGGAAUUGAAACAUCUUAGUACCCUCAGGAAAAGAAAUCAAUAGAGAUUGCGUCAGUAGCGGCGAGCGAAAGCGCAAGAGGGCAAACCCAGUGCUUGCACUGGGGGUUGUAGGACUGCAAUGUGCAAGAGGUAAGUUUAGCAGAACAUUCUGGAAAGUAUAACCAUAGAGGGUGAUAGUCCCGUAUGCGAAAAACAAACCUUAGCUAGCAGUAUCCUGAGUAGGGCGGGACACGAGGAAUCCUGUCUGAAUCCGGGUCGACCACGAUCCAACCCUAAAUACUAAUACCAGAUCGAUAGUGCACAAGUACCGUGAGGGAAAGGUGAAAAGAACUGAGGUGAUCAGAGUGAAAUAGAACCUGAAACCAUUUGCUUACAAUCAUUCAGAGCCCUAUGUAGCAAUACAGGGUGAUGGACUGCCUUUUGCAUAAUGAGCCUGCGAGUUGUGGUGUCUGGCAAGGUUAAGCAAACGCGAAGCCGUAGCGAAAGCGAGUCUGAAUAGGGCGCUUAGUCAGAUGCUGCAGACCCGAAACGAAGUGAUCUAUCCAUGAGCAAGUUGAAGCUAGUGUAAGAACUAGUGGAGGACUGAACCCAUAGGCGUUGAAAAGCCCCGGGAUGACUUGUGGAUAGGGGUGAAAGGCCAAUCAAACUUCGUGAUAGCUGGUUCUCUCCGAAAUAUAUUUAGGUAUAGCGUUGUGUCGUAAUAUAAGGGGGUAGAGCACUGAAUGGGCUAGGGCAUACACCAAUGUACCAAACCCUAUCAAACUCCGAAUACCUUAUAUGUAAUCACAGCAGUCAGGCGGCGAGUGAUAAAAUCCGUCGUCAAGAGGGAAACAACCCAGACUACCAGCUAAGGUCCCUAAAUCUUACUUAAGUGGAAAACGAUGUGAAGUUACUUAAACAACCAGGAGGUUGGCUUAGAAGCAGCCAUCCUUUAAAGAAAGCGUAAUAGCUCACUGGUCUAGUGAUUUUGCGCGGAAAAUAUAACGGGGCUAAAGUAAGUACCGAAGCUGUAGACUUAGUUUACUAAGUGGUAGGAGAGCGUUCUAUUUGCGUCGAAGGUAUACCGGUAAGGAGUGCUGGAGCGAAUAGAAGUGAGCAUGCAGGCAUGAGUAGCGAUAAUUAAUGUGAGAAUCAUUAACGCCGUAAACCCAAGGUUUCCUACGCGAUGCUCGUCAUCGUAGGGUUAGUCGGGUCCUAAGUCGAGUCCGAAAGGGGUAGACGAUGGCAAAUUGGUUAAUAUUCCAAUACCAACAUUAGUGUGCGAUGGAAGGACGCUUAGGGCUAAGGGGGCUAGCGGAUGGAAGUGCUAGUCUAAGGUCGUAGGAGGUUAUAUAGGCAAAUCCGUAUAACAAUACUCCGAGAACUGAAAGGCUUUUUGAAGUCUUCGGAUGGAUAGAAGAACCCCUGAUGCCGUCGAGCCAAGAAAAGUUUCUAAGUUUAGCUAAUGUUGCCCGUACCGUAAACCGACACAGGUGGGUGGGAUGAGUAUUCUAAGGCGCGUGGAAGAACUCUCUUUAAGGAACUCUGCAAAAUAGCACCGUAUCUUCGGUAUAAGGUGUGGUUAGCUUUGUAUUAGGAUUUACUCCGAAAGCAAGGAAACUUACAACAAAGAGUCCCUCCCGACUGUUUACCAAAAACACAGCACUCUGCUAACUCGUAAGAGGAUGUAUAGGGUGUGACGCCUGCCCGGUGCUCGAAGGUUAAUUGAUGGGGUUAGCAUUAGCGAAGCUCUUGAUCGAAGCCCGAGUAAACGGCGGCCGUAACUAUAACGGUCCUAAGGUAGCGAAAUUCCUUGUCGGUUAAAUACCGACCUGCAUGAAUGGCGUAACGAGAUGGGAGCUGUCUCAAAGAGGGAUCCAGUGAAAUUGUAGUGGAGGUGAAAAUUCCUCCUACCCGCGGCAAGACGGAAAGACCCCGUGGACCUUUACUACAGCUUGACACUGCUACUUGGAUAAGAAUGUGCAGGAUAGGUGGGAGGCUUUGAGUAUAUGACGCCAGUUGUAUAUGAGCCAUUGUUGAGAUACCACUCUUUCUUAUUUGGGUAGCUAACCAGCUUGAGUUAUCCUCAAGUGGGACAAUGUCUGGUGGGUAGUUUGACUGGGGCGGUCGCCUCCCAAAUAAUAACGGAGGCUUACAAAGGUUGGCUCAGAACGGUUGGAAAUCGUUCGUAGAGUAUAA
rnacentral:rRNA from 1 species